rnacentral:piRNA from 1 species
UGAUGAACUCAAAAUGUUUUAAAGCAGGA